CCCCGCCUGAUACUCUCCUCCUUCUUCUUCGUAUGUUGUGAAAUCCUCUUAGAUUAAAAGAAACCCUAAAAUCAUUGUGACGGUUCCUGAUAUACGAUUUUUAGUUGUGAAGUUCCUGAAAUCAUAUUUUUGACUUCAAAAUGCGAUUUUUCUGAAUUGCUACUUGGUGUGUUGAAGAUCUAUAAUUUCAUAUUUUUGAAGUUCUUAAAAUCCUCUUCGACCAACACUACCUCCAAUCGACACCGAAUUGUCAGGCCUCGUACGACGACGAUGUACGGGCCUUAUCGACCAACACUUCAUCCACCAUCACCGUUUGCAGCUCUCCAACCCCAUCCUUGGGCGACCAAUGGAUGAUGUUCCCGCAAGUCAAUUUGGUGUGACGCAUCUUGUCACUCAUAAAACCACGCACCAACAGUUUGCUUGCAAGUCAAUCGCGAUGCAGAAGCUGAUUAACAAGGAUGACAUCGACGUUGUCUUUCGAGAGCUCCAUGGCGCCUACGAGGAUCGCUUGCUAGUCAAUCGAUGAUUGUCGUCCGCUCAUAGGGCCAAGAAAUUGAAAUCAAAGGGUUAGGGUUUUGUCAAUUUCUGGUUUUGUAAUUUUCUCGUUCAGUAAUUUUUUUAUGUUUCCUAAUUAUUGGUUUUGUAGUUUGUCAAUUCUACAAGCCACCAUGGCUUGCCGAGGAAGAUGAAACGCUACUCACUAAUUUCAGGGUGCAUCACUUGAAACAUUAUUUCUAGAUUAGUUCCCAAAAACGCAAUUCAAGAUCGCUAGCGAUUGAAACAAUUUUGCAAUUGGAGAUUGUUCCACCAGUUGCGUUCAUAAAAAAAUGCUACUUAUAUCAAAACCACCUACCAUAGUAACAAGUGUGACAUAGCUACCAUUGAUGAUGGGAGAUUAAUGGAUGAUGUUGAAGCUGGAGAAUUAUGGGGUUUCUUUGGUGGAUUUUCUCCACUUCCAAAGAAAACAUCUACAAAUGAUGCUCAAAGUACUCAUGCUUAUCCUACUCAGCAACUUUGUAUCAUAAAGGGAAAGCAAUACCUGUAGCUGAUGAUUCAUACAAAGAAGUUACUAGACACACACCAUUGUUAUCUUCUAGAUUGUGGAGCAAAAAUUUAUGUGUGGGUUAGAAGAAGUACUAAUCUUGAAGAAAGAAAAGCUGCAAAUGGAGCUGCAGAAGAACAUUUACGUGUUCAUGAAAGACCAAAAUCCAAUAUCAUUCGAAUGAUUGAGAAUUUUGAGACAGUUUCUUUCAGAUCAAAGUUUGAUUCAUGGCCUCCAUUGAGUGAUGUGGUUGCAUCUAAAGAUGGUAGAGGGAAGGUGGCUGCUUAAAUCUAACAGCAAGAAGUAAGAACAGGGGAACAGAGAAUAAGAAGAAGCAAUUGAGGGGUUAACACAAUGUUCCAUUUGGAUCAACCUAUGUAUCUUCUUGGGUUUCUUGCUAACCAGAGCAGGGUUUAUCUCAUUAAAAAAGAAUUCAAUGUCAUUGGUUACACUCUGCUCCUGAUAUUAAUCGAGUACAAGACACUUGUGAUGCGUGGAGACAUAGAAUGAGCUUAUGGACUUUUACCUUCAAUCCCAAAGGAGCAUUAUAAUAGUGUUGCUCAUUUUCUGGAGUCAUGGGGCAAGGUUGAAGAGGCCUUGGAAGUUGCUACAGACCCUGAUUAUAGAUUUGAGUUGGUUAUUCAGCUUGGUAAACUUGACAUUGCCAAGGUAGAAUUUCUACUAGCUUUGUUCAAGAACAAAAGGAAAAAGAAUCUGUUUGCAAAUAGGAUGAUUGUUAACAGAAGAGCAAGGUAUGCUGCUACAAAGCUAACGACAGAUGUUUUAAGUCUCUACAAGAAGUCAUUGGAAUCAGAGAUGGAAAUGGAAAUGGUGCUCCUUAUCUGAUGCACCUAAAGGUUUUGACACCAAACGUAAUCAAUCCACUUUGGCAUCUCUAAGUAAAGGAUUUGCUGAGCUCUCCAUAGAUGGACAGUUUCUACAACUGCGCUCAAAACAGGUAUGGUCAAGAAGAAUAACAGGGGUAGGGACGGAUUCUUACAAGGGAUAGAAGCUCUUACACAAGGUUUUACUUUUAGGGCAUUUGGUGUAGUGAGGAAACCUGUUGAAAGUGCCAGACAGAUCGAAUGGUAUUCUUGGACUUGGGAGAGCCUUUCUUGGAUUCGUGGUACAACCAGUGAGUGGAGCAUUGGAGCCACUGGAGGUGGAAGAUCAUAUGAAUAUACGAGUCUGUCUUCACCUGUUUCGUUUCGUUUCUUGAAGCCAUUGUUUGGGUGAUUCUCAAGAUUCCGGUUUCGUUUCUUGAAUCUGUUGUUUGGGUGAUUCUCACUUAUUACGUAGUUGGUUUCAAUUCUAAUAUUGCAAGAUUCUUCAAGCAAUAUCUUCUGCUUUUGCUUUUUAACCAAAUGUCUUCAGAAUUUUUUCGGUUCAUUGGGUUGAAAUAUGAUUGUUGCAAACAUGUUUGGUUCAUUUGCACUUCUCUUAGUCUUUGCUUUGGGUGGCUUUGUUCUUGUUCGAGCAUGGGUAGAUUGGGGAGGAAGUAUUGUCAAGUGGAACACUAGUACAUGGAAGCGUAUAAGAUGAUGGGAGGUUUCUUGCAAUGUACGAUCCAAGGGGACAUAUUUAUAUUGAAUUCUAGUAAUAUGAGGAUGCAUAGUGUAGUGAAGAAACCACAUCUUGGCGUUGUUACAGCUCUAGCCUUCUCAUAGGAUUCAAGACACGCAUGGGUGACUAUCUCAAAGAUGUGGCAUUCAGUCAUAUCUAAAAGCUUACAGAUACAACAGUUAAAUCAGGACUUGAAGUUGCACUCUAUCCUCAAGAAAUAAGUUAGAAUGUCAAUUCACUUCAUUAUCACUUUCAUUUUGCUAUUGAUUUUCCCUUAUUUUUAAUAUAAAAUAUUGUUCUUAAUUCUGAUUGUAUGUUUUUGACAAAUGGAGAUUCCAUAUUUGGAUGAAUGGGAUCAAAAUGAAAAGGAUCACUCCAUCUCCUUAGGUCGGGCUGUUAAGGAUAUGGAGUCUAGCUCUCUCCAUCUUCUAGUUUUAUGUGGUGCAAAGUUAUGAUCUUCAAAUCUUAAUGAUCUUCAAAAGUAAAACUGUAAAAAGUUAUUUGUUAUGCUCAUUGAUUUUACAGCUAGAUGUUGAUGUGAUGCAAAGAAUAUCAGGUCUGGAGCAGCUGUUGAUGUGAUUAAGAGAAUAUCAGUCUCCAUAUGCUCUUUAGUAACUAAGGUGAAGCGGAACAGCUAACUCUACAUGAAACAUUUCUACUUUCUAGUAGUGACAAUAGGUUUCCAUGAUGGCAUGAAAUUGGUAAAGUUGAUGGAAGAAAGGAAUAUGAAGCCACUUGAUUUAAAUCUUGCAGCAUUAUCAGCAAGAUGCAGUAAAGACUUGGAGUUGAAUUUGGCUAAGUCAUUAUUGAGUGAGAUGAGCCAAUGUACAACUGCUUAUCCAUAUAAUCAGUUGUUUGGAGCAUUAGUCUGAAAGAAUUAUGAAAGGCAAGAUGCAACUUUACUUAGUUGGAAUUUGAUGUACAUAGUAGAUUAGAUGCAAAUUUAUAUAUUGUAAGAUAUAGAAUUGUAUGACAUUAAAUUUAUGCAAUGGAUUCUAUUUUUUGUA